AGGGGGAUAUUGCACAAUGGGCGAAAGCCUGAUGCAGCGACGCCGCGUGGGGGAUGAAGGCCUUCGGGUUGUAAACUUCUUUUGCUCUGAACAAGGCAUGCCUUUGGGGUGUGUUGAGUGUAGGGGUUGAUUAGCGCCGGCUAACUACGUGCCAGCAGCCGCGGUAAUACGUAGGGCGCGAGCGUUGUCCGGAAUUAUUGGGCGUAAAGGGCUUGUAGGUGGCUGGUUGCGUCUGUCGUUAAAGCUCAUGGCUUAACUGUGGGUUUGCGGUGGGUACGGGCUGGCUUGAGUGCAGUAGGGGGGGCUGGAAUUCCUGGUGGAGCGGUGGAAUGCGCAGAUAUCAGGAGGAAUACCGGUGGCGAAGACGGGUCUCUGGGCUGUUACUGACGCUGAGGAGCGAAAGCGUGGGGAGCGAACAGG
rnacentral:rRNA from 1 species